UGUAUUGCUCUGGGGCAUCUAAGGAUGACAUGAGUGAUGGUCUCCUCAAUGUUCGGACAUGUCUCAUAAUACAGGGUAAUCCGAACCUCUCGCCCUGCUAACAUCCUUUUGGUCGAUAGACAGCCCUACACUACCUUCCAUAUGAAAAGGGUCACCCGCGGGUGUAUCCGCAUCCUCCAGAUCCAACCUCCCUCAAUCUGUCGAUCCGGCUCUCCCCUAAACAGCGCAUAGAGGUCCCUGGCAUGCACCAUGGAUUGUCCCAUUGGCUUUCAUACUAAUCUGUCAAGCUCCUCCUGGGAUGGAAUAGGAAGGGCUAAGAUCCGCUCUCCUAAAUGCUCCCCAAAUACCUUC
rnacentral:lncRNA from 1 species